rnacentral:rRNA from 1 species
AGGGCUGCUCCCUGAGUGGAGCCGGUAUCUUAUUUUGACUCCACACGGGAAAACUCACCCAGCCCGGACACGGAAAGGAUGGACAGACUGAUGGCUCUUUCUUAUUUCAUUGGGUGGGGGGGCAUGGCCGCCCUUUUUUGGUGGAGCAAUUUGUCUGUGCCAUUUGCAUAACGAACGAGACUCUGGCCUAUUAAAAAGACGGUUGAUCAAAGAGUAUGCUGCACUUCUUACAGUCACUGACUCCGUCUAGUCGCAUGAAAUACAGCAAUAACAGGUCUGUGAUGCCCUUAGAUGUCCGGGGCUGCAAUCCACGCUACACUGAAAAUAAUCAGAGUGCGCUGUACCUAGUUCGGAAGAACCGGAUAACCCAAGUAAAUUCUUUCGUGCUUGGGAUAGGGAAUUGCCAUUAUUUCCCUUACACUAACAAUUCUCAGUAAAUGCGACGCUUAAGCUCGAGUUGAUUACGUCCCUGCCCUUUGUACACACCGCCCGUCGCUACUACUGGAUUGUAUGACUUGC